GACGAACGCUGGCGGCGUGCCUAAUACAUGCCAGUAGAACGCUGAAGGAGGGGCUUGCUCCUCUGGAUGAGUUGCGAACGGGUGAGUAACGCGUAGGUAACCUGCCUGGUAGCGGGGGAUAACUAUUGGAAACGAUAGCUAAUACCGCAUAAUAGCAGUUGUUGCAUGACAACUGUUUGAAAGGUGCAAUUGCACCACUACCAGAUGGACCUGCGUUGUAUUAGCUAGUUGGUGGGGUAACGGCUCACCAAGGCGACGAUACAUAGCCGACCUGAGAGGGUGAUCGGCCACACUGGGACUGAGACACGGCCCAGACUCCUACGGGAGGCAGCAGUAGGGAAUCUUCGGCAAUGGACGGAAGUCUGACCGAGCAACGCCGCGUGAGUGAAGAAGGUUUUCGGAUCGUAAAGCUCUGUUGUAAGAGAAGAACGAGUGUGAGAGUGGAAAGUUCACACUGUGACGGUAUCUUACCAGAAAGGGACGGCUAACUACGUG
rnacentral:rRNA from 1 species